UCCCGGGAGAGCCAUAGUGGUCUGCGGAACCGGUGAGUACACCGGAAUUGCUAGGGCGACCGGGUCCUUUCUUGGAUCAACCCGCUCAAUGCCUAGAAAUUUGGCCGUGCCCCCGCGAGAUCACUAGCCGAGUAGUGUUUGGGUCGCUAAAGGCCUUGUGGUACUGCCUGAUAGGGU
rnacentral:other from 12 species